rnacentral:rRNA from 1 species
CUUCUUUUUCACCGGAGCUUGCUCCACCGGAAAAAGAAGAGUGGCGAACGGGUGAGUAACACGUGGGUAACCUGCCCAUCAGAAGGGGAUAACACUUGGAAACAGGUGCUAAUACCGUAUAACAAUCGAAACCGCAUGGUUUUGAUUUGAAAGGCGCUUUCGGGUGUCGCUGAUGGAUGGACCCGCGGUGCAUUAGCUAGUUGGUGAGGUAACGGCUCACCAAGGCCACGAUGCAUAGCCGACCUGAGAGGGUGAUCGGCCACAUUGGGACUGAGACACGGCCCAAACUCAUACGGGAGGCAGCAGUAGGGAAUCUUCGGCAAUGGACGAAAGUCUGACCGAGCAACGCCGCGUGAGUGAAGAAGGUUUUCGGAUCGUAAAACUCUGUUGUUAGAGAAGAACAAGGAUGAGAGUAACUGUUCAUCCCUUGACGGUAUCUAACCAGAAAGCCACGGCUAACUACGUGCCAGCAGCCGCGGUAAUACGUAGGUGGCAAGCGUUGUCCGGAUUUAUUGGGCGUAAAGCGAGCGCAGGCGGUUUCUUAAGUCUGAUGUGAAAGCCCCCGGCUCAACCGGGGAGGGUCAUUGGAAACUGGGAGACUUGAGUGCAGAAGAGGAGAGUGGAAUUCCAUGUGUAGCGGUGAAAUGCGUAGAUAUAUGGAGGAACACCAGUGGCGAAGGCGGCUCUCUGGUCUGUAACUGACGCUGAGGCUCGAAAGCGUGGGGAGCAAACAGGAUUAGAUACCCUGGUAGUCCACGCCGUAAACGAUGAGUGCUAAGUGUUGGAGGGUUUCCGCCCUUCAGUGCUGCAGCUAACGCAUUAAGCACUCCGCCUGGGGAGUACGACCGCAAGGUUGAAACUCAAAGGAAUUGACGGGGGCCCGCACAAGCGGUGGAGCAUGUGGUUUAAUUCGAAGCAACGCGAAGAACCUUACCAGGUCUUGACAUCCUUUGACCACUCUAGAGAUAGAGCUUCCCCUUCGGGGGCAAAGUGACAGGUGGUGCAUGGUUGUCGUCAGCUCGUGUCGUGAGAUGUUGGGUUAAGUCCCGCAACGAGCGCAACCCUUAUUGUUAGUUGCCAUCAUUCAGUUGGGCACUCUAGCAAG